GGACGGGUGAGUAACGCGUGAGGAACCUGCCUUGAAGAGGGGGACAACAGUUGGAAACGACUGCUAAUACCGCAUGAAGCAUAGGGGUCGCAUGAUUCUUAUGCCAAAGAUUUAUCGCUUCAAGAUGGCCUCGCGUCUGAUUAGCUAGUUGGCGGGGUAACGGCCCACCAAGGCGACGAUCAGUAGCCGGACUGAGAGGUUGAACGGCCACAUUGGGACUGAGAUACGGCCCAGACUCCUACGGGAGGCAGCAGUGGGGAAUAUUGGGCAAUGGGCGCAAGCCUGACCCAGCAACGCCGCGUGAAGGAAGAAGGCUUUCGGGUUGUAAACUUCUUUUAAGAGGGAAGAGUAGAAGACGGUACCUCUAGAAUAAGCCACGGCUAACUACGUGCCAGCAGCCGCGGUAAUACGUAGGUGGCAAGCGUUGUCCGGAUUUACUGGGUGUAAAGGGCGUGCAGCCGGGUCUGCAAGUCAGAUGUGAAAUCCGUGGGCUCAACCCAUGAACUGCAUUUGAAACUGUAGAUCUUGAGUGUCGGAGGGGCAAUCGGAAUUCCUAGUGUAGCGGUGAAAUGCGUA
rnacentral:rRNA from 1 species